UUCACGCAUCAUGAAUGCCAUGAGAUAUAAUAGGGUGCUUGCAUUAGAACUCAUGAAUAUGUUGCAUUGCAUAAUAUGUUGAUGAUGCGGAUGAAUGUUGAAUGAUCCUUUAGUCCUCAUAUGUUAUGAUAUGAUGAUGAUACGGUACGGAAGACCAGUGAGGCCCAUUCUACGCCCCUGGCACAGUUGGACCAUGUAGAGGACUAUUGGUGACAAAUUCAUCCUUGAUGUGAUUAG
rnacentral:lncRNA from 1 species